GUGCCAGCAGCCGCGGUAAUACGAAGGGGGCUAGCGUUGCUCGGAAUCACUGGGCGUAAAGGGCGCGUAGGCGGCGUUUUAAGUCGGGGGGUGAAAGCCUGUGGCUCAACCACAGAAUGGCCUUCGAUACUGGGACGCUUGAGUAUGGUAGAGGUUGGUGGAAACUGCGAGUGUAGAGGUGAAAUUCGUAGAUAUUCGCAAGAACACCCGGUGGCGAAGGCGGCCAACUGGACCAUUACUGACGCUGAGGCGCGAAAGCGUGGGGAGCAAACAGGAUUAGAUACCCUGGUAGUCC
rnacentral:rRNA from 1 species